ACGGAAGGCAGCAGUGAGGAAUAUUGGUCAAUGGACGGAAGUCUGAACCAGCCAAGUCGCGUGAAGGAAGACGGUUCUAUGGAUUGUAAACUUCUUUUGUCCGAGGGUAAAGUGAGAGAUGCGUCUCUUAUUGCAAGUAUCGGACGAAUAAGCAUCGGCUAACUCCGUGCCAGCAGCCGCGGUAAUACGGAGGAUGCGAGCGUUAUCCGGAUUUAUUGGGUUUAAAGGGUGCGUAGGCGGGCUAUUAAGUCAGCGGUCAAAUCGUGUUGCUCAACAAUACUGAGCCGUUGAAACUGGUGGUCUUGAGUGUAAAUGAGGUAGGCGGAAUGUGACGUGUAGCGGUGAAAUGCUUAGAUAUGUCACAGAACCCCGAUUGCGAAGGCAGCUUACCAAGAUACAACUGACGCUGAGGCACGAAAGCGUGGGUAUCAAACAGGAUUAGAUACCCUGGUA
rnacentral:rRNA from 1 species